GAUGAACGCUGGCGGCGUGCCUAAUACAUGCAAGUCGAGCGAACGGACGAGAAGCUUGCUUCUCUGACGUUAGCGGCGGACGGGUGAGUAACACGUGGAUAACCUACCUAUAAGACUGGGAUAACUUCGGGAAACCGGAGCUAAUACCGGAUGAUAUUUUGAACCGCAUGGUUCAAAAGUGAAAGACGGUCUUGCUGUCACUUAUAGAUGGAUCCGCGCUGCAUUAGCUAGUUGGUAAGGUAACGGCUUACCAAGGCAACGAUGCAUAGCCGACCUGAGAGGGGUACGGGCCAACCUGGAACUGACCCCCGUUCAAGCACCCGAGGGGGGGCAGGCGUGGGGAGUUUUCCGGAAGGGGGGAAAGCCUGACGAGGCCACCCGAGGUGGUUAAUGAAGGUUUUCGGACGUUAAACCCCUUUUUUUAGGGAAAAAAAAAGUUUUAAGAAACUUUGCAGAUUUGGGGGGUCCCAAAACAGAAAGCCCCGGUGAACUGCGU
rnacentral:rRNA from 1 species